rnacentral:rRNA from 1 species
GAUGAACGCUGGCGGCGUGCUUAACACAUGCAAGUCGAACGGUGAAGCAGGAGCUUGCUCUUGUGGAUCAGUGGCGAACGGGUGAGUAAAACGUGAGCAACCUGCCCCUGACUCUGGGAUAAGCGCUGGAAACGGCGUCUACUACUGGAUAUGUGAUGUGAGCGCAUGGUCUGCAUCUGGAAAGAAUUUCGGUUGGGGAUGGGCUCGCGGCCUAUCAGCUUGUUGGUGAGGUAAUGGCUCACCAAGGGGUCGACGGGUAGCCGGCCUGAGAGGGUGACCGGGCACACUGGGACUGAGACACGGACCAGACUCCUACGGGAGGCAGCAGUGGGGAAUAUUGCACAAUGGGCGGAAGCCUGAUGCAGCAACGCCGCGUGAGGGAUGACGGCCUUCGGGUUGUAAACCUCUUUUAGCAGGGAAGAAGCGAAAGUGACGGUACCUGCAGAAAAAGCACCGGCUAACUACGUGCCAGCAGCCGCCGUAA